AAUGAACGUUGGCGGCGUGGAUUAGGCAUGCAAGUCGUGCGAGAAUCGUAGCAAUACGAGGACAGCGGCGAAAGGGAGAGGAACACGUGGAUACCUACCCUCGGGAUCGGGAUAGCUGCGGGAAACUGCAGGUAAUACCGAAUAACAUCUUCGGAUCAAAGGUGUGAUUCCGCCCGGGGACGGGUCCGCGUCCUAUUAGCUAGUCGGUGGGGUAACGGCCUACCAAGGCAAAGAUGGGUACGGGGUGUGAGAGCAUGCCCCCGCUCACUGGGACUGAGAUACUGCCCAGACACCUACGGGUGGCUGCAGUCGAGAAUCUUCGGCAAUGGGCGCAAGCCUGACCGAGCGACGCCGCGUACGGGAUGAAGGCCUUCGGGUUGUAAACCGUUGUCAGUGGGGAGGAAAUGUCGGUGGGUUCUCCCAUCGAUUUGACCUAUCCGCAGAGGAAGGACGGGCUAAGUUCGUGCCAGCCGCCGCAGUAAAAC
rnacentral:rRNA from 1 species